AGCCCGGAGAUGGAUUCUGAGACACGAAUCCAGGCCCUACGGGGUGCAGCAGGCGCGAAAACUUUACAAUGCUGGCAACAGCGAUAAGGGAACCUCGAGUGCCAGGUUACAAAUCUGGCUGUCGAGAUGCCUAAAAGCAUUUCAUAGCAAGGGCCGGGCAAGACCGGUGCCAGCCGCCGCGGUAACACCGGCGGCUCGAGUGGUAACCGUUAUUAUUGGGUCUAAAGGGUCUGUAGCCGGCCGGAUAAGUCUCUUGAGAAAUCUGGCAGCUUAACUGUCAGGCUUUCAGGAGAUACUGUCUGGCUCGAGGCCGGGAGAGGUGAGAGGUACUUCAGGGGUAGGGGUGAAAUCUUGUAAUCCUUGAAGGACCACCAGUGGCGAAGGCGUCUCACCAGAACGGACCUGACGGCAAGGGACGAAAGCUAGGGGCACGAACCGGAUUAGAUACCCGGGUAGUCCUAGCCGUAAACGAUACUCGCUAGGUGUCGGCCACGGUGCGACCGUUGUCGGUGCCGUAGGGAAGCCGUGAAGCGAGCCACCUGGGAAGUACGGCCGCAAGGCUGAAACUUAAAGGAAUUGGCGGGGGAGCACAAUCG
rnacentral:rRNA from 1 species